CCUACGGGAGGCAGCAGUGGGGAAUAUUCGGCAAUGGGCGCAAGCCUGACCCAGCAACGCCGCGUGAAGGAAGAAGGCUUUCGGGUUGUAAACUUCUUUUCUCAGGGACGAAGCAAGUGACGGUACCUGAGGAAUAAGCCACGGCUAACUACGUACCAGCAGCCGCGGUAAUACGUAGGUGGCACGCGUUAUCCGGGUUUACUGGGUGUAAGGGGCGUGUAGGCGGGGAUGCAAGUCAGAUGUGAAAACCACGGGCUCAACCUGUGACCUGCAUUUGAAACUGUGUUGCUUGAGUACUGGAGAGGCAGAUGGAAUUCCUAGUGUAGCGGUGAAAUGCGUAGAUAUUAGGAGGAACACCAGUGGCGAAGGCGGUCUGCUGGACAGCAACUGACGCUGAGGCGCGAAAGCGUGGGGAGCAAACAGGAUUAGAUACCCGUGUAGUC
rnacentral:rRNA from 1 species